UGCCUUCCUGCUCUUCAAGCAGGACCAGCUGAUUGACUUCUCCGAGGACGCACGCCCCUCACCCUGGUAAUCUACACCACCCACACAUAACCCGGCCUCAGGCCACCUCCCCUGGAACGGUCACUCUUGCUCAGUUCUCUCUUGACCUUGGCCUUGAGACUGGCAGAAGAGCAGGAUAGGGUGCUAGCAGACUCCCAGGGGCCUCUCAGGGUUACCUGUUGGGGUGGCGGGGUGAGGGGCUCUGCUGCCCCACUCUCAUACGCUCUCUAUCUUCUCAUAGCUAUCAGCUGGCCCAGCGGACCUUCCGCACUUUUGAUUUCUACAAGAAACACCAAGAAGCCAUGACUCCAGCCGGCUUGUCCUUCUUCCAGUGCCGCUGGGAUGACUCCGUCACCUACAUCUUCCACCAGCUUCUAGACAUGCGGGAGCCGGUGUUUGAGUUCGUGCGGCCGCCCCCUUACCACCCCAAGCAGAAGCGCUUCCCCCACCGGCAGCCCCUGCGCUACCUGGACCGGUACAGGGACAGUCAUGAGCCCACCUAUGGCAUCUACUGAGGAGCCAGAGUGUGCGCACUUCAGAGCAUGGGAUUGAUCGGCAGCAAGAGUGAAGACACAGCUCCAGAGGCCCACACCGUGGGGUCUGGGCCCUGCCUUAGGCAGCCCCCCUCUUUGGCCCCCUCCCAUCAGGCCCAGGGCUUGGAGUGAAAGUGACUCUCAGGUGGUGGGGUGGGGAAUGUGAAUAAAGAUGAUUUCUUGCCGGG
rnacentral:sRNA from 1 species